GUGAGCGGUACAGACUUCAAACCCGCGAUGCUGGC
rnacentral:tRNA from 10 species